rnacentral:rRNA from 1 species
AUACGUAGGGGGCGAGCGUUGUCCGGAAUUACUGGGCGUAAAGGGUGCGUAGGCGGUCAUGCAAGUCGUAUGUGAAAGGCACCGGCUUAACCGGUGGAGUGCAUAUGAAACUGGGUGACUUGAGUGCGGGAGAGGCAAGCGGAAUUCCUAGUGUAGCGGUGAAAUGCAUAGAUAUUAGGAGGAACACCAGUGGCGAAGGCGGCUUGCUGGCUCGCAACUGACGCUGAGGCACGAAAGCGUGGGUAGCAAACAGGAUUAGAUACCCUGGUAGUCCACGCCGUAAACGAUGGAUACUAGGUGUAGGAGGUAUCGACCCCUUCUGUGCCGGAGCUAACGCAAUAAGUAUCCCGCCUGGGGAGUACGGCCGCAAGGUUGAA